GGAUUGGCCGCUCUUGAGUUUCUGCCUCCAGCAUUAUGGGGCGGAGCAUCAUCCAGAUGUUACGUUGCAUAUUCAUGCAGUAUUUUAAUGCAUUGCCAGUCAGAGGGGCUGAGAAGGAAGAAAAUGAUAGAGACAAGAAGACCAAACUUUGUGUUUUUCGUCAUGUUCUGGUCAUCCCAGGUUCUGUAAUCAUCAUGUAGGUGGUGACUGAUGGCCACUGUGUAUCAUAUCAAAUCCUAACUUCAGUGGGACCAGACAUCAGCGUUAAUGGGCCACAGAUCUCAGAGGUGAACAUGGAACUUGCCGAUUCUCCUUGUCCUCUUUGCAGAAAUGCCCAGAACUCUUAAGAGUAAAAACGUCUCUUGGGGUUCGGCGGACCGUCAGGACUCAGGGGCCACUGAGGAGAAGGAGAAGAAUGCCCAAGUCCAGCUGGAGAAGGCCAAGGUAGAUUGCAACUCCAUAAUUCUCUCAGCUGCCCAUUCCUGCUACCAGUGACGUUGGCCACAAGGACCGAAAUAUAUCACAGCUUUAGAUGUACUCAUAAAUUUUGCAUGGCUCUUUUUCCUCUGUCAAAGUAACAAGGUAGCCGUGUCAAAAAGCUAAUCACCAAAUGCCUUGGUUGAAACAGCACAUCAGUGUUAAAUCUUGUACUCUACAAAAGCAAUGCUCUACAUGCAACUGACAAACAAUAGCUACAAUUACCUUUUCUUCUGUUCCUUUGCACACUCCAAAAACAGAUAAGAAGCACCAUGGCAAACCAUGAAUGAGCAACAAACAACAAACACUUGGUGUUUUAUCAUCGGCACUUUACAGUCCAGUUUUGCUCGGCUUUUAAAAACUGAAUGAAACCCCCCUAACUGUGUCAGUGAGCUCCCUGAGGUCCUUUUUAAUUAAGGUACUGAGCAGACAGCAUCAUGUCCUGCUUCAGUCCACCAUCUCCCACAGAGCAUCACCUUUAAAAACCAGGCUAUAAGCAGCUAGACUGCUAUUGUGUUGACAUUUUACUAUCUUUUAGUUAAAUACCAAAUUAUAAUACAAUAAAUUAAUAGAACAAAGUGAUUUAUUUAUUAUUGUGUUACUAGGCAGUAUUUUUGAAUAUGGAAAACUGGAUUAUUGUUUUUUUUUUAAAGUUAGAAACAGGUUAUACAUUGUGAAAUAGAGUAAGCUAAUGUUCUCAAACUUUUUUAAGGCUCAG
rnacentral:lncRNA from 1 species